CCUACGGGAGGCAGCAGUGGGGAAUAUUGCACAAUGGGGGAAACCCUGAUGCAGCGACGCCGCGUGAGUGAAGAAGUAACUCGUUAUGUAAAGCUCUAUCAGCAGGGAAGAAAAUGACGGUACCUGAGUAAGAAUCCCCGUCUAACUUCGUGCCAGCAGCCGUGGGAAUACGUAGGGGGCAAGCGUUAUCCGGAUUUACUGGGCGUUAAGGGGGCGUAGGCGGGAGUGCAAGUCUGGAGUGAAAGGCGGGGGCUCAACCCCCGGACUGCUGUGGAAACUGUAGGGUUGGAGUGCAGGAGAGGUAGGUGGAAUUCGUGGUGUAGCGGUGAAAUGCGUAGAUAUUAGGAGGAACACCGAUGGCGAAGGCAGCUUACUGGACUAUAACUGACGUUGAGGCACGAAAGCGUGGGGAGCGAACAGGAUUAGAUACCCGUGUAGUC
rnacentral:rRNA from 1 species